CAGGACACUGGUCACACGAAGGUCUUCAUGGGAGAAGAGAAGGAAAAGGUCAAAAAUAACUUCCUGCUUAUAUAGUUUUCUCAGUUUCUUUGAUGGCUUAAAAUACUCAGUAUGCCAAGGUGCCAUAUGUUGGGGUAUCAUGUUCUAAGCCCUGACACCUCUGUAACAACUCAGAAUUUCUUCUCCGGGCUUCCUUCAGGUACAAAAAGAGGAAAGCUGAGGCUCAAAAUAAGUGGGGAAAGCAGAACUGCCUUAGACCAACAAUGUCAGGGCUGGUGAUGCCCUCUUGUGGCAUCCUGGAGAAUUACUGCCAUCUGACUUCAUUUCCUCCGACUUGGAGGGACUAUUCCCUCACAAUACCUCAGUCACUGAUUCAUGCAUGCCAGGUAUUGUCCUAACAGUAUCCCUGUCCUCGUGGAGUUUACAGUCAGAUGGAGGACAUACUAUUAAUAAACAUAAUAAGGAGAUUUUACCCAGUGAGAACAUGUUUAGGACACUUUUCUACAGUGGAAGAAAAGCUUCUGUCUGCAGGUCCAAAGGCACCGUAAGUAGAGGGAGACCAGUCAAUAGCUGGGAAGCCAGGCAAAAGGCUAACAGGCAGAUCUCUGGUUUCUCUUCAUAACGAAUAAAUCUUUCGCCUUUUACUAAAGAUUUCCGUGGAGAAAAACAACUAUGAGUUUAUGGUUAAAUUUUUUGAAGUCUUGCCUAGGCAAGGCUGAAUGUUCUGUUACUAAAGAGAGACGUGUGGGUGGGGUGUUUCAUGCUUUGGGAGGUUGGGGUAGCUCCACAAAUGUCACCCAGGUUGUAGCGGAGUGGUGUGGUCGCGGCUCACUACAACCUCCAUCUCCCAUGCUCAAGCAAUCCUCCCACCUCAGCCUCAUAAGCCUGUCUAAUUUUGUGUACUUUUUGUAGUGCCCGGCCUACUGUCAUGUUUUUUUAGCUUCUUGUAAACAUUUAGGAAGCUAAAUGUUUAUAAGAUUUUUUUUUUUAAAAGAAAACCUAGUUUUUGACAGUCUGUAUCUAAUAAUUUGGCUGAAGUCUUGUGAGUCUUUCUAGUGUGCUAGUUCCAAUUUAUAGUGAUGACUUUGUGUGCAUGAUUAUCUUAUACUUUGGACUGGUCUCAUAUUUGAAAAAUUAAGUGUAGGAAAAACUUAAGAGUUAGGAUGAUGAUACUUUCUUCCAGAGAUAGUUUUCUUUUGUUUUUAUCAGGUACCUGGGGACACAAACAAUUCUGGACUACCUUUGUCCACAUUCAACACUUGAGGUUCUCUGGACCACCUGGUAGUUAUAUAAUCCAUACAAGACCACCUGAGGGCCGGCUUACUUUUGGCCCACCUUGACCUUGAGGGUACUGUCUUCUGGGGUCCAACUUAAAGUAUGUAUGCUAGAGGUAUCAGACUUCCCACCGAGAGCAGAAUCUCAGUGCCUUCUCUUUCUUUUGCCCUUUUUUUGUUUUGUUUUGUUUUGAGAUGGAGUUUCACUCUGUCACCCAGGCUGGAGUACAGUGGUACGAUCUCGGCUCACUGCAGCUUCCACCUCCUGGGUUCAAGGGAUUCUCCUGCCUCAGCCUCCCGAGUAGCUGGGAUUACAGGUGCGCACCACCACGCCUGGCUAAUUUUUGUAUUUUUUAGUAGAGACAGGGUUUCACUAUGUUGGCCAGGCUGGUCUUGAACUCCUGACCUCAAGUGAUCCACCUGCCUUGGCCUCCGAAAGUGCUGGGAUUACAGGUGUGAGCCACCACGCCCGGCCUGAGAAGUCUUCUUUAUCUGGCUAUUGCUACUCAUU
rnacentral:lncRNA from 1 species